rnacentral:lncRNA from 1 species
CUGGUGUUUUAUUAAGUUUCAUUUUAAAAACAGAUUGUGUACAUUCCUCUAUUGUCAGGUUGCCGUCAAUUUCAUUACCUUCUUGUGUACUUAAUUUGUAAUUUAUUUUAGUUUUUUCAAUAUAAUUUUCAAUUUCUCUUAAAUCAGGGUUAGUUGACUUAUAUAUAUAAAUUGACAUAAUAAUUUCUCCCCGUUUCUAAUAUUUUGCCUUGAUCUUCUGUUAUUUCUGCUUUACUGUCCCUUAUAGCAGUAAUGUUUUUCCUUGUUUGUCUUGAUUUUUCUAAUCCCAAGAAAUAUUUUGUAUUUUUUUUCGCCCUCUUCUAUCCAUUUAACUCGUGAUCUUAUUUGUGCCCCUUUUAUUUUAUCUGAAUAUAGAGUUUGUAGCGUUUCUUCUGUUUUAUUUAUUGAAUCUAUUAUAUUUGGCAAAUUAUUAUUUUUUCCAUCCAGGUUGUUAUCAUAAAUUUCAUUCAAAAGUUUAAGUUUUUGUUCGAGUUUUGUAAUUUCGUCUCUUUUCUGUUUAGCUUUUAAUUUACAAUGUUCUAUAGUUUUCUCUCUUACUUCUAUUUUAAAGAGAUCCCACACGAUUGCUAGACUUUUUUUAUUUCUUAAUUUUUCAUAUUUAUCUAUCAAAGUAUUUAUUUUUAUUUUGUAUGAUUCGUCAUUAAGAAUACUGUUGUUUAAUUUGAAGUAUCCCUUUCCUUUGUUCCCUUGACAAUGAUUAAUUUUAAGUGAAAUCGCUAAGUGAUCUGUAUAUUGAAUAGUAGCAGGUCGUAUAUCAGUGCUGAGUACUCUUGGUCUCACAUCUUGACUAACUAGAAAAUAAUCAAUUCUACUAGCUACUUCAUUAUUUUUUCUUUUCCAGGUAUAUUGCGUUUUAUUUGGAUUUAUUGCUCUCCAUAUAUCUAUAACUUUUAGUUUUUUUAUUAGAGUUUUUAGCCCAUUUGUCUUAUUUUUUAUUUUUUGUUGAUCUUUUCUAUUACUUUUUCUAUCUUUUAUAUUAAGCGUUUCAUUCAUAUCACCGCCUAUGAUAAUUAUACCAAGGCUAUAUUUUUCAAUGACACUUAAAGCUUUUUUAAAGAAUAUAUUUCUAUCUUUACAUGUGUUUGGGGCAUAAAGGUUUACAAAGGUAAAUAUAUUUUUUAUCUAUUUCUGUGUUGAUUAAAACAAUUCUUCCGUCUUGAUCUACAUAUUUAUCUAUGAUUUCAUAUUUAAUUUUUUGGUUGAUAUAAAUUGAAACACCUCUUGAUUGUGUGGUUCCAAAACUAUGAUAUAAAUCGCCCGUAAAUUCUUUAUCUAUUGAAUUGUUCGAAAAAUGUGUUUCUUGUAAAAAUAUUAUGUUGCAUUUUUGUUGUUUUAUCCAUUCUUUUAGUCUAAUUCUUUUUUCAUAUUUUCUUAACCCCUGACAAUUUAAAGAACAUAUAUGCAAUGGAUUAAGUGACAUCUUGGUUUGUUUUUAAAAAAGUAUUCGAUACAUGUAUUUCAAGUAUAAAAAGCAGAAUAUACAUACAAAUAUAUACAGAAUUUAGAGAUAAAAAUACAAUCAUAUGUGCAUCUCUAAUGACAGUUUUAGCUUUGAUUGUAUGAGUUGCUAGACUAAGUAUAAUUACAUGUACACACAUAGUUUUAAUUUCAUAUUGACCGACUUUAAUA